rnacentral:sRNA from 1 species
ACUUUUUUAUACAUUGCUAACAAUUAUAUAUUGAAUAUGAAAAAUAUAGAUACGACGUGAAAAAAGUCUUCCAGUGAAUAAUGGAUUUAUUGUUUAGGUUACUAUGAAAUUCUGUACUCAAAGACAAAAAUUAAGACUGAAAAUAGCUUUUGUGGACUUAAAUAUUCUCAACAAUUACAAAUGAAAAUAUUUAUUUUAUCAAAUAAUUGUAAAUCCAUUUAUUUGAUAUACAUUUUUUAACAGAACAAGAAGUUGGGGUAUUGAGCGGAGUUUGGUUGCUAUCGAAUAUUUUUAUUUACAUUCAUUUAACACAGUCGUAUGCUUUAAUUUCAAAACAACUGCUAAAUAAACCUCGCCUAGCUGGCUCUUUUUUAAAAUAAAUAAAUAAUGAAAUUAUAAAUGAUGUAUGUCUUGUUAAAUUUAUGAACAUGUUUAUAUAUAAAACAUUACUAUUAUGUAACUUGUGUCUGUUAUGGGUUGUACUGUUAUUUAUGUAUGAUGCAAUCGCCUUCAAAUAAAAUAAACGUUAAA